rfam:Triticum aestivum genome assembly, contig: Triticum_aestivum_CS42_TGACv1_scaffold_514183_6BS
UACGUACUCCCUCCGUCCCAAAAUUCUUGUCUUACAUUUGUUUAGAUAUGGAUGUAUCUUCUUGUCUUACAUUUGUUUAGAUAUGGAUGUACCUAAUACUAAAACGUGACUUCAUACAUCCGUAUUUGGACAAAUCUAAGACAAGAAUUUUGGGACGGAGGGAGUAGUAA